UCAUUGCAAUAAUCGUCAACACCUUCUCACUUGCGCUAUUAUUUUCCCUUCUCACAUCAACUACAUGCAAAGUCUUAUUUCUUGCUACUGACGACCACGAGUGUGUUUUGGUCUAUAUGCCACGCAUCCCUACCCAAAAAAACAACAACAACAACAUCCCCCUGUUCCUCCAUGCAACAACACCCCCCCCCCCCCCCCAACCAAACCCUGACAUAGUCCCACGGCUGUUUGGCGAGGGGGUUUCCUCUCCUUGCUUUUUUAUCUGUGCACUCACUCCAUGACCCUUGUUCCCCUUGUUUCAUGCUGUCUGACCUACAACCCCCCCCCACCCCCACCCCCCUCCGUGUAAAAUAGCCAAGCCACUGCUCACAAAUCCUCCUCUUGCCUCUCCUUCGUCAGCCAAAACCGACUGGUUUUAUUUUCUGUGCCUUUUUCAUUUUUCACAAUGCGCAUUAUGGGAUUUGAAACUCAUACAAAUAACAGUUGGUCGUUUUCUGGCUGCAAGAAGUUCAAUCCCCACACUGCACGCCUGCCCUCCUGGAGGUCUGGAGCCGAGUGGUUGCAGUGCACGCACAAGAACCAGCAGCGGCUCCACGUCGCCCGAGAGCCGGCGUGCACUUUGCAGGGCUGGCUGGCGGUCCUCCCUGAUCCGCUGCUGUCAUGGAGGAGAACCCGGGGCUCCCUUUUUUUUUUUUUUUUCUUCCCAUAGCACGCACGCACUUGCGCGCCACGUGCACGCGCGCGCGCACGCACACACACGAGGGAUCGAUUUGCACGGGACUUGGUCGGGGAACGGCUGAGAAUCGACUUUAAAAAAAAUAAUAAUAAAUACGAGGCUCGAAAGAAGCAGUCGGGGCCGAGUGAGAGAGACGAGCCGAGCCGAGGUGGGACGAAGCCGAGAGGGGGGGAAGAGUGGCCGCGAGUCGGGGCGGAGGGCUCGCACAAAAAACAAAAACCUCCAGGAGAAAGGAUCUCAUAAAGCACCGCACUGAAGAUCGACCUUCGGACGAGCACGCUUUUAUAUAUAUAUAUUUUUUUUUUAGGGUUUGUUUUUCACAAAAUGCGAGAAGAGAAAGCCGCGAGAGAGUCGCCGGACCCACGCGGAGCCAACAGGCUGGACUCGGAGCUCCUUCCCCGGGGCUGCGCUCCGCGACGAGCCGCCCCACGAAUCCCGUCGAAACACCCGCGAUCCCUCCACGCACGUCCCCCGUCCUCACCAAAAAAAAAAACCAAAAGAAAAAGCCCCAUUCUGCUUUAUAACAGCUUCUUUUCUCUCUCUUUUUUUUUCCUCGUAUGUCGAAGGAUCUCUCGCUUGUUCUCGCCCGUAGACGAAGAGGAGAGGACGAGCGCUGAUGUAAACACAGGUAACGACACAACCUGAACCCCUCACCCCACACACCCACUCCAAAAAAACAAAAAAUGUAAAAAAAAAAACCUCGAAACUUCCAUGAAAUGAGAAUUUCUUAUACCCGGAACGGGAGUUUAAAAAAAAGAAAGAAAGAAAGAAAAAGGAAGCUGGGGACCAGCUCCGCUACAAGUCCACCGCCAUGGAGGAGGAAAGAGGCUGACAGAGACAGAAUACGACAACACACACUCACACGCACACACACCAAAAAAAAGGGGAGACAAAAGUUGAAACUUACAAUGUGCCGCUUUGUGAUGUUCGCUUUUUAAUCCAGUAGCGAGACGACGGAGCUAAAGAUCCCAUCAAGGCGAAAAGAGUCCCCUUUCGGUCACUUUGCGCUCGGGGGUGGCCGAAAAAAAAAGAAAGAUCAUUGUUGUUGCCGAGUGCUUGGGUGGAAGGGAAAAAGAAAAAAGGGAAAAAAAAAAAAAAAAAAAAAAGGCGCAAGUAGGUAGCUAUUAGUUGUUCAAGGCGAUAUCAAAAAUAAUUUGGAUGCAAAGCAGCCGCAGUCCGGAGUUGGAGGCGCGCGAGGAAGAGGUGAAAGUGAGAUCUGAUGAUUGGGGGGAAGAAAAAAAACUCUUUGGAUCUUUAUUCCUGCUAAUUAGUUUCCUGCGAGAGAGAAGGAGGAGGAGGAGGAGGGGGGGGGGGAGAAAAUGGCUGUGAUUAAUUCAGUGCGCAUGUGCUUCAUUACACAGGCACGAAGGGAAGGGCUAAUUAGCCGCCUUGUGGAUCAAUAAGAUUCAGCAGAGGAGAGCCGGCGGAGGGAGGGCGAGGAGGAGGGAGGAAGAGGAGGGAGGGAGGAUGGAUAGAUACAAGGAAGGGCGAGAAGGGGGGGAAAAAGGGAAAAAAAAGAGGAAAGUAAUGAUCAGGAAUAGAAAAUAUGGAAUUAAGAGAGGCGGGAAGUAAGAGUUUGAUUAGUGAAAGUGAACGCCGGCUGGCCGAGCUCCACGCUUCCACUCGGCUUGUACACUCUUUUCACACUUUUUCUCGCCUCCGGUGAGGGGGGGGGGGGAUAACAAAAAAAAAAACUAAAAAAAAAAAAAAAACAACAACAACACUUAUGACAUAAUUUAAAAUUGUUUUUAACGCGCGUGUUGCAAAUGAUUUGCACACUUAAAGCGACCAGUGAUGGAUGUUUAUUUGAGCUGGUUUUUUUUUUUUUUUUUAAAUUGUUGUUGUUUUUAUUUUUAAAACUUUCCAUGAAUUGGCGAUGAUUCGUCGUCGCUGUACAGUUGAACAAGUUUAAAAAAAAAACAACAAGUUUUUAAAAAAUGCUUUCCAACUUUGCAUUUACGAUUAAUGCAAAAACUGUAUUUUUUAUUAUUAUUUUUUUCCUGUAUAAGAAACUAUUAUUUACAUCAGAGUAUUUUUUACAUGGGUACAUACAAGUCCAGCCGUCAUAAAAGAUGGAUGAACUGAUAAAGACACAACUGAAAAUAUUGUCACUCGGUGCAGACAUACCGUUACACAUCCAUAUUUCAAUCACACAACUCUAUGAGAAUGUUAGUGAUAUUUCCAUCUUUUAAAGUAACCCAAAAAAUAAAAUAAAAUAAAUGGAAGAAAUACGUGUGCAUUUGAAGCUCUUACGGUUCAACUUGGACAAUACACACGCCCUCUUUUAUUAAGAUACUCUGUAUGAUAAAUAUGUGGCUGUGUGAGCAAUAUGACGGUAGGCACACGUCAAUAAGUCGGUCGUGUAAAAUACGUUAUUAUGACGUCACUGGUUCGUGGGGCACGCACAGACAAACGUUUUGGAAUAGUUGGGACUAAAAUGGAGAAUCCUAAGAGUUUUUUUUUUUUUGGGGGGGGGGAGCUCUUAAUGCACUCACGUUCUUUUUUGUCCUUUGUGUGUGUGUGUGUGUGUAAAUGCAGUGAGAAAAAAAAAACGUGUCGUUUGCAUUUAGGGAGGGGAAAUAUUUAGCUAUUGGGUCAAGUGUCGGAAGAGAUGGAUCUGAUAGAGCGAGGGGCAAAAAGCAUGUCAUUGUGACACAUAUUGUAAACAAACACACUGUCAAUGCAUUCCUUUUUUUUUUGUGUGUGUGUUUUUUUGUUUAAAGAAAUAACCAUACAAGUGAAGGAGAGUGAGGUGGCUCUUGUCUUCUUUUCAUGACGCCAUAUUCGCCCUGUGGAAAUGGCGAAACUCCCUUGCAUGCGUAAUAUAUACAAUAUACCCCUCUCUCUCUCUUGCAUAAUAAAGUAUUUAAUAUUUUAUA